AUUGAACGCUGGCGGCAUGCCUUACACAUGCAAGUCGAACGGCAGCACGGACUUCGGUCUGGUGGCGAGUGGCGAACGGGUGAGUAAUAUAUCGGAACAUACCUUGUAGUGGGGGAUAACUAUCCGAAAGGAUAGCUAAUACCGCAUACGCUCUAAGGAGGAAAGUGGGGGAUCGCAAGACCUCAUGCUAUAAGAGUGGCCGAUAUCUGAUUAGCUAGUUGGUGAGGUAAAGGCUCACCAAGGCGACGAUCAGUAGCUGGUCUGAGGGGACGACCAGCCACACUGGAACUGAGACACGGUCCAGACUCCUACGGGAGGCAGCAGUGGGGAAUUUUGGACAAUGAGGGCAACCCUGAUCCAGCAAUGCCGCGUGAGUGAAGAAGGCCUUCGGGUUGUAAAGCUCUUUUGUCAGGGAAGAAACGGUUGUGGCUAAUAUCCAUGGCUAAUGACGGUACCUGAAGAAUAAGCACCGGCUAACUACGUGCCAGCCGCCGCCGUAA
rnacentral:rRNA from 1 species